rnacentral:sRNA from 1 species
AAAAGAAAAAAACCGAAAACAAAGAGGGAUGCAACACGAAGACUUUCCUGGAGGUCACCCAUCCUAGUACUACUCUCACCCAAGCACACUUAACUGUGGUGUUCUGAUAGGAUCAAGUGCAUUAGUGCUGGUAUGAUCGCAUCAGUUACUACAUGCAAUGCAAUCGUAUCUAUUAUUUUUUGAAGACUUUAUGAUCCAUUUGCCGUGGGUCCCACCAGCUAUGUAGGAAUACCCUAUCUUGUUUAUAAGAGCUUUGAUACAUCCAAAAUAUUCGAAAACAAUGUUGGAACGUAUAAGUUUUGCCCAGUAAUAUAGCAAAGAUCACGAAAAGGCCACAAAAAGUACAUUAAGGUAAAAAUUUAGAGUAGGAAACAAAAACAAUAGGAGAAUUCCAUUUUCCUUCCUCAAUCAUCGGAGAGUUCUUUUUGGGCUUUCCAAAAAGGUAUCACAUGCCAAGUUUGGCCUCACGGUCUAAAAGUUAUAGAGUAAUACAUUUUUAACAAAAAAAA